UUUCCAUUUUAAUAACUUCACAUGCUACAUGUUAAGUAUAGGUCCAUAUUACCAAUGGUCACCCAAUUCCCCUUUGCAUCUGUUCCAUGUUGAUUAUGAUGUCAGGAAAGCAAAAGUUAAAUCCCUUUUUAAGGAAGAAAAAAAAUCUAAUUUAAUAACUUUGCAAUCCUGUUGAAAGCAUGAUUAAAUCUUAAUAAGAGUGGAAGGAUGUUGUGUUUCAUGUCUAUCCCUCUUGAAGCCCUGGCAACUUGUUCAGGGAUAUAGACGGGGUUGUCAAAGGACUUCACAGCCCAACCCUGGUCUCAUCUGCCGGCAUCCAAGACGCAGCAGAAAUCUCUGAUGGUGCUGACACUUCUAUUUUCACUUUUCUCAUCCUGGUGUUUUUUCUCAUUAAAGCAGUUUGAUUCUGUAAUUUCUACCAGUACAGAUAAAAAUAAAAUGACUCCCAAUUUUUAUUUUGACCUUAUAAAACCGUGUAAUUGGUUCAGAACCUUCAGGCUAAAUGAGAUUCCUGUGGAUUGAGAACCUUGGACAGAGGAAUCAUAGAGUUAAAAAUAUACCACAUGUCCAGAUAGAAUUAGCUCAUAAACUAAUACUCUAUUUGAAUAUACAGAAACUGAAGUCUAAUGUCAAUCUCAUGAAAGUUUAGUUUCUGAUGUAUUCAUAUUUUUUCUCUUCAAAACAAACAUAACAGCUCAAAGUGCAACAAAAGCCAUCCACCUCAAUUUGCUCUUCUUUUCCUGAAUCUCACGACUCUCAGAGAGUCCUAAUUAGCUACAGAAUUGUGUCCAACCUCCUAAAGGUUGCAUUUGGGACCCGGGGACUGGCUCUUGCCGAAUUCCCUGACCCCACCUGUUACCGCUUCAUCAACCCCUGUAUGCAUUACCAUUCCCCAGACAGCCACACUGGUCUCUAGCUCUGCAUCUUUGUGAGUCUAUUGCUGCCUUUCUGAAAUAUACUCUCCUGCUAAUCUUUCUUCCAAACCCCCACUCCUCCUUUGAGAGUUAGUUCCAGUGUCUCUUCAUCUGAAAAGCCUUUAAUAUCUUCCUCAAUGGUCCUGAGCAGACCCAGAAACCCAGGCCCUCUGUGCUCUCACAUAAUCUUAUGCAAGCCUAUUACAGUUGUCAAAUUAUUGUGCUAUAUUGCAAUGAUCGGCUUACUUGUCUCUUAUCUCUUUUAGGCUGAGCUCAUUGAGGCUGGAGCCACAUCUUUUCAUCUCUAUGUUUCUCUACAUAGCAUCUAGAAAAACACUUGGAAUAUACUAGGCCCUCAGCAUAUGUUUGUGGGCUGUCUCAUAAGAGCCAGACUUACACAGUGUAUAUUGUGUUCCAGGCACAACUCUGAGCAUUAACGCACAUAUACUCUUAUUUACAAACCCCAACACCUGAGAUCCUCUUAUUACCGUUCCUGUGUUAAAGUUGCAGAACCUAGAACACUGUGGGAUAGAGUAACCUGCCUAAGCUCACACAGCUUACAAGUGUCACGAGUAUACAGGGCAGACUCCAGCUCAGUCUGGCUGCAGAGUGCAGGUCCUUAAACACUAUCCCACACCACCCUCAAAGAGGGGCCUCCAUGACAAUGCCUUGCGCUUGGCAGCUCAGAGUCCUCUAGCAAUCUAGAGUUUGCAGUGGCUUCCUGUGUGCUCUAGACUAUGAAGGAUUAGGAGGCUCACUGGGGCUGGCUGAGAAAGAAUGCUUUGAUCAACUAGUCACUCCCAGAAUCAGAGCCACAAAAGAGUACCAGUCCCGGAUUGCUGGGUGAUAGGCCAUACAUAUCUGCUAAGAAAGGGCUUGUCCCCUACACUACCCUCCCAGUUUAAGCAUCCGCAUGCUUUGGACUUUGGAUGAUUCAUAAAUAGUAGAAGCCACAGCUAUGGAUCCUUAUCUGCCAAAUCUCUACCUUAUUAAACAUCGCUGGCCAGGUCAGCUCCAUUCUGGGAAUAAUUUUGCUUAUUAACCUAGAGUCCUGUCUCAAGUGGCCGUUGGGUUAAAGAGCAAAGGAAAUGGAAUAAAAGCACAUAGCCAUGCAUAAAGAGAAUCUGGCGUAUUUAAAUACUUAGUUCUGACAAACCCACAAUUGGAUUUCUGAUCUUUGGAAGCGAGCUCCUACCUGGACCUUCUGAAGCAGGAGCAGAAUUUGAGAGGAUCCAGAAUCCUGACAAACCCUAUCCUGCAGGCCGACCAACAGCACUGCAAGGACAGCAGGUUGCUCAGGGCUGGCAGCAGGAAGCACUUGCCACUGGGAAGCCACACCCCCACCCUGAGAGUCCGCUGGCAGGGGCUGUGGAGUGGGCCUCACCUUCUCAUUACUGCCAUGCUGAGGGGGUAAGGGCUAAUGGACUGCUGGUCCAGGGGGACAGUCUGUAGCUCCGUGCAGCUCUCUCCACAGCAUCCAGUCCUGAACCUGUGACCCCAACUCUGUGAGCAGGGCCAUUACCCACCCUUGAGACUGCCGGCAUUAAGAUCCUCUCAUUACGGGCCAUGCAGAUUGUUCCGGGCGAUAAUGAGGUGGCAAGAGGAGAAGGCAUCCUGGGGGAACUUCUGAGAGCCAAGCCUCCGACAGUAGAUGAGUUCCUAACCUGCCGUUUUAAAAAACAUCUCUCCAAAUUGCCAGGAAUAUUUUUUUCCAGGAAAACUUUGACCCUUCUCUUUGUCUUCCUUUUUAGACUAUGUGCUGAAAGAGGUAGCAUUCCAUAGUCACUCACCCCUUUCUUCCCUUGCAUCUUUGUUUUGAUCUUCAUCUUUCUCUUGCCUCCUUUCUCUCCCUUUUGUUCUCUUUUCCCUUUUACCCCUUUGUUCCUUCUCUUUUUUCCCUUUAUUCUCCUGCCCCUUCACACAGCAUAGCAAUCCAAGCUUUGGAACAAAAUACAUUAUGGGUCCAAAUUCCAGCUCCGCUCUCUGGUAAUUAGGGAUAUGGGCAAGGUUCUCAUUUGCCAGGGGAGCUUCUGUUAUUUAUCUGAAAACUGAAACUCAAAUUUUCAGGAUUUUAAGAUUAUUAAAUGACUUUAUUUAUAGAAAGAGGCCUUUAAGGUACAUGGGCACAUAACUGGCACAGAAUAAAUCCAGGUAUCUUCCUGUAUCCAGCAAGGCUUUAUUGAGUUGAGUCUGUGUCAUAUGUAAAGUCCUGUGGUAGAUAAUGGAAAUAAGUUUUGGUUUCUUCUCUUAAGGAAGUUUCCAAUUUUUAUGCUGAAGAAAAGCCAGGGAAUUUUGGAUUUUCUUAAACUAAAUAAAGAUAAAUACUUUUCCUGGUAUAUAUCAAAUAUCCAAUUAGAUAUAACUAACUUCUUUUCUCAAAGCUAAGCAAACUGAGGCAAAGGACAUCAUGGCAAUUAAAAUGUUCAUAUCGUGCAAACCAUUUAGUUGGGUGAUGUCUUGUCCCUCCCACAGGACACAUUUACAGAAAGAAUUUGUAUUUUGUUGUUGAUUUUAUUUUCUAUUGGUAUUUUUUUUCUAAAGUAGGAUCAUGAACUACUUUAAGGCCCUCUGAAACUAGGAAGGAUGUGAGUAAAGUACAAUGUUUCACCAUUACUUUUAUUUGUAUUUUUAAAAUUACUAGUGAGGUUGAACACAUUUCCAUAUUAGUUUCAGGGUACUUUGCUAGAACUUGUUUUACAAUUUUAAUUGGCUACUGUCCAUCUGGUAUCGUUUCUACUAUGCCAUGAGCUUCCAGAGAACAGAGCCCGAGCAGCACUUGCCUUUGUAUCCUUGGUGUGGUGCGGUAAAUAAAGCAUGUCAGACGGACUGGAGGCUGCAAAACAGAGCUCCUGCCAUGUGUCAGCCACUGGUGCUGGGGACAGAGGGAUGGGAGCUCUCAGAGGUCCACUCUAAGUUCAGUGAUACCUAUAAUUUCUGGGCCACUCACUGAGUGGAGAAGAACUGAUUUGGUUAGAAACUGAGGUUCAAAGCCCAGCUCUGCCACUUACUGGUUGUGUGACCUUUGGCAAAUUCCCUUCAUUUCUUUGAGCCUCAGUUUCCUUAGCUGUAAAAUAAGGACAAGCUCCAAGAUCCCUCCUAAUUCUUAUCAAGACAUAUUUGUAUAAUAUAUACAUAGCCUGAAAAUAAGACUCAAACUUUAGUUGUUUUUGAAAUUCUGUUUUAUUAUGCCCUGGAUUGUGUCAAGCAGUUUCAUCCAAAAGAAAUAUAGUGUGGGCUAUGAAUGCAAGCCACAUAUGUCACUUUAAACUUGCCACUUAGCCACAUUUAAGUAAGUAAAAAUAAACAGGUGAAAUUCAUUUAAAUAAUAUAUAUUUUUAAUCCAAUAUAUCCAAACUAUUAUCAUUUCAACAAGUGGCACUAGCCACAUUUCAGUUGCCCAAUAGCUGCGUGUGGUUGGACAACGUGGUUGGUGUGAAGUGUGGCGCAGGGGAGGUGGGCCUUUUCUGCUGCUGCUGCCCUCUGGUGGAGGUACAGGUGAGUGGCAGCUCACAAAUGGCAGGUGUGGGUGCAAUGAAGCCACCAGUCCAUGUGUCCUACUAAGCUUUGUCAUUGCCCCUUCACUCCUCUCAUUUAAAGCACAGAUGCUAACUUUGAUUUUUUCAACCCAUUCACUUGUUUAUGGCUAAAGAUUCACUAGUGAAGGGAAUCACAUCGAAUCACAGCACAGUAGAAUAUAUAAAAGAUCUUCACGAAGUUCCAUACAUGAGAGAAAUAUGGGCUCCUCUACUGACACUCUCUCAGGCCAGGAACUUCGCUAGGUCAUCUCUUUGACUGAGUUGAAAGUCCAGUCAACAACUGUUUAUCUGGCAUCCAAGGAAAAGGAAACAUAAAUAACCUCAACUAUUUUUGCACUUCUUUCCUAUGAUAAUUAUGCUCAGAGUCAUCCAGCAACCACAUUGAAAGGCUCUGUGGGGCCUUCUGCAUCAUCAGAGAAGGGACUGAUUGAGUUUGUAACUUAUAAUUCUUUCCAAAUUAGAACCAAGUAUAUGACAUAGGUUGUCACCUGCUAGUAAGCAGAAUAUUUGAUUAGCUGGGGAAAUUUAUUUUGGAAUAUAAGAAGGAGCAUGGAUUUUGGAUCCAGACUUAGAUUUGACUCUUAACUAUGUUAUUUGCUAUAUGACCUUGAGUUUGAAAUUUAAUCUCUUUAGAUUUUAGUUUUCUUUUCUGAAAAAUAGAAAUGAUACCUCACUGUG